UUUCAGCUUUUAAAUAAAGGCCACAGAUCCUGGGAUCCAGAAGUUAUUGGUCUGUUAAACUACAGAUUGGAUAUCAAUAUAACGUCAUUUUGUGUUGAACAAUCUAUAUCCUUAAAGAGAAAAGACAGGAAGGAAGGAAGAAGAGAGAGAGAGGUGGUCCCAUUUUUGAUGGAUAAUGGGGCCAAAGGAUGAAUAAGAAAAAACACAACAAGAAAAUAAAAAAUUAACUUGACGGUUUCUUUAUAUUCAAAGUCGGUCAUUUGAACUUAAUAAGAUGGUGUAGCCUUUGAGGUCCCAUGUUAAAAAUAAAACUCAAGAAGGUCAGCAUCUGUGGGAGAACAGUUUGUAUUCAGCCCCAAUAAAGUUUACCUUGAUUCUUA